GAUGAACGCUGGCGGCGUGCCUAAUACAUGCAAGUCGAGCGAACGGACGAGAAGCUUGCUUCUCUGAUGUUAGCGGCGGACGGGUGAGUAACACGUGGAUAACCUAUCUAUAAGACUGGGAUAACUUCGGGAAACCGGAUCUAAUACCGGAUGAUAUUUUGAACCGCAUGGUUCAAAAGUGAAAGACGGUCUUGCUGUCACUUAUAGAUGGAUCCGCGCUGCAUUAGCUAGUUGGUAAGGUAACGGCUUACCAAGGCAACGAUGCAUAGCCGACCUGAGAGGGUGAUCGGCCACACUGGAACUGAGACACGGUCCAGACUCCUACGGGAGGCAGCAGUAGGGAAUCUUCCGCAAUGGGCGAAAGCCUGACGGAGCAACGCCGCGUGAGUGAUGAAGGUCUUCGGAUCGUAAAACUCUGUUAUUAGGGAAGAACAUAUGUGUAAGUAACUGUGCACAUCUUGACGGUACCUAAUCAGAAAGCCACGGCUAACUACGUG
rnacentral:rRNA from 1 species